CCUACGGGAGGCAGCAGUGGGGGAUAUUGCACAAUGGGGGAAACCCUGAUGCAGCGACGCCGCGUGUGGGAAGACGGUCCUCUGGAUUGUAAACCACUGUCCCCAGGGACGAAGAUGACGGUACCUGGGGAGGAAGCUCCGGCUAACUACGUGCCAGCAGCCGCGGUAAUACGUAGGGAGCGAGCGUUGUCCGGAAUUACGGGGUGAAAAGGGAGCGUAGGCGGGACUGCAAGUUGGGUGUCAAAUCUACCGGCUCAACCGGUAGCCGCACUCAAAACUGCAUGUCUUGAGUGAAGUAGAGGCAGGCGGAAUUCCUAGUGUAGCGGUGAAAUGCGUAGAUAUUAGGAGGAACACCAGUGGCGAAGGCGGCCUGCUGGGCUUUUACUGACGCUGAGGCUCGAAAGUGUGGGUAGCAAACAGGAUUAGAUACCCGGGUAGUC
rnacentral:rRNA from 1 species